rnacentral:rRNA from 1 species
AUUGAACGCUGGCGGCAGGCCUAACACAUGCAAGUCGAGCGAGCGGCGGACGGGUGAGUAAUGUCUGGGAAACUGCCUGAUGGAGGGGGAUAACUACUGGAAACGGUAGCUAAUACCGCAUACCAUCAGAUGUGCCCAGAUGGGAUUAGCUGGUAGGUGGGGUAAAGGCUCACCUAGGCGACGAUCCCUAGCUGGUCUGAGAGGAUGACCAGCCACACUGUACCUGAGACACGUUCCAGACUCCUACGGGAGGCAGCAGUGGGAAAUAUUGCACAAUGGGCGCAAGCCUGAUGCAGCCAUGCCGCGUGUAUGAAGAAGGCCGUCGGGUUGCAAAGUACUUUCAGCGGGGAGGCUUUACCCGCAGAAGAAGCACCGGCUAACUCCGUGCCAGCAGCCGGGGUAAUCC